CAGCGCUCGAAAGCCUCCCGUUCUAGACGGAACCGGGCCUUGGAAUAAUUACAGCAAUAGAAUCGUCAAUUGCAUCUUCAACAGCAUGUUUUGCAUCAUGUCCACGUCGAGCUUGGUGGAGGUGAAUCAUUACUAUUGCAAGAUGUAACACUGUCAAUUGCGCCGCUGCUUUGAUAGAAUUCCUAGAAACCGACUUACUGGCCCUUCGCUGGACGGGUUUAAUUGCUCGCUACAAUCAAGCGAGCUGAGAAGGCCGUGCGCGACCACUGAUGACUCAGCCUCACCAGAAGCGUAAACAAAAAGCUGCCUAGUUUCUCAGUUGCGCACAUCCGCUGAUCGGGGUGCGGUGUGUUGGAGGGUUCCCUGGAGGCGAGCUUCACGAUAGAGUUGUCAAAUACACGAAACUUCUCACCCGAGAAGUAAAGGUGAUUAAUGAUCAAGGCUUCUCAGGUCUUCCCCAUCAAACUGGAGAGCCGGGAACCAAACACCGUCUCCGAUGGCGUAACAAGACAGUGAUUUAGAUAGCGAGCUGCGAUAAGAUACACACACGCCGAAUGCGCGCGUCCGCAGCACACGCAGCAGGAAUUUUGGACCCCGUACUCGCGGGAGAUCGCAGCUGAAUGUUGCAAUGUUUGAGAUAUUGAAGUUCCCAUUGCCUCGGUUUGCGCUCCAACUGCACACAGCAGUAGCAGCGUUUGGUAGUAGAAGUAUGUCAUACUACAGCAGGGAGUGUGUUGUUUAUGUUUGCAAUCCCUUCGCACCACUACCAAACUUGCUACACAUACAUUCUACAAAUAAGACUCACAUUCCUCCGGUGAGCACUACAGGACACCUCCCCUAGGGAGGGAGGAAACGAAUUCAUUGGACAUUACACUCCGGGCAUGGUAACUCCCGAGGCGAUUGCGGUGUCGGGUCUCCCAGGCGAGAUGCAAGCGAAGCGGGGAAAAAAAGGAACAAGGGUCAACCAGUGUGUGCGCUUUUGGCUUGAGUUUAUUGCCCCGAAGACGGUUGGCUCUAGUAUACGCGCGGUAUGCUAAUUGCUUACAUUCGGCAACCGUAUGGUCAACGGCAACGACACUCCACACAACAACAAAAAACCACGACGUCUCUUCAUCCAAUGCUGCCCGGCGCAAUAUACUGCUGCUCCCUCUUGUGACUGAUGCCCCGGUGAAAGUCUUUUGCCAUUUUUGGCGGACCAAACCAUUUAUGGAACGGUUGGUUUGAACGAUUGACUGCAUGCACGUUGGAUCAUCGAUUUGGGCCAAAGGGUACCGGCGCGUGUUUUCUUGCCCGCAAGCAACGAAACCUUGCGCAGCUGGAGAUUGUGAUUUCGAGCAUUUGGCAAACAUUCCGAUCCCGAUAAAGAAGCAUAACAGAAUCUGGUGGGUAAAUGUGUUUGCAAGGAAAACACCUGACUUUGCGAUUGGACGUAGCGGUUGCGUUGAGCUUCAAAAAUGGUUAUCAUUUCACCAUCUGCGAGGUGGAAUACACAACAAGGGAAAAGCUUGUAGCUAAUGUAGGACAAAAUGUUUAUCUAAUACAAUUUGAGCUCUUGACUCACGCGAAUUGAUGACGGAUAGAAGUCCAAGAGAGCAAUUCAGACCAGAUAUAUUAUAGACCACAAGUCAAUAUUAUCAACAGUCAAUAGCUGCGAUAAUCAGGAUCUGCUAUUUUUAAGAUAUUAAACGAGAUAUAAAAAAGCAAUACGGCCAGGCCGUUCUUUAUGAAUAAAAAAAAAAAAAAAAAAAAAACGAGAUAUAAAACAUCGUAUUGGGCUUGCCAAGGAUUCCGACACUACCC